GGGACGAACGUGAAGAAAUGCAAGUUGGUCCUCCGAUGGAUUUGUCUUUUAAAAAAGCGACAAAUAUGGCUGAUAUUUUCCAGAUCUUAGCUCACAACGGGCACGAUCUGUUCGCAUUGGUAAGAUACCUGCUCACUCUUUGAACCAG
rnacentral:misc_RNA from 1 species